GAUGCUCAGCGUAGCACAGAGCCUGGAGGCACUGACCUGCUUGCAUGGAUGAGGGAGCUGCUGUUGCACAGGGCAGAGUGCUGGCCUGGGGUCUGAUCCCAUUAGGAGGCAGUGAUGGAGAGCCAUCACAGUGUGACCUCUGGAAGUGGUUACUGAGGAAUUGACAACUGUGUGAUAACAGCAACAUCAGACCCCUGCUCAGAAUCCUUGGUGGUACCUGUGGCUCCUCUGCAUCACUUGAAUGUUGUGUGGCACAUUUCACAGAGCAACCCGCUGGCACAGAACGUGCCCAGGUUCCAGCUCUUGCUUUGGCUACAUCAUUUCAUGUUUUGAGUUUUCAGCCAGCUGCUCUGCCACAAAGUAGGAUAUGACAAGGGCUUGCAUGUUCUCUUAUACUUCAUGUGAGCCAUAAGUUUUUGGAUGCACAGUUACCUCCGACCAUUCUCAGAUGGUUGCUGAGCUUCCAACUCAUAGCAAAAAUGUUAUGAUAACUUUAUUAACAAAAUUACAGCUAAAUUCAGUGUGUAUGCUUGUGGUUUUAAUGUUCUUGACCAGAAAAUCAUGGAGAAAAGGAUUACCUUAUGUUGUUGUUUAUAUAAUGUGGUCUUUUGGAAUGUGUGUCAACCUGUGGCAGGGGCAUUGGAAUUAAAUGAUCUUUAACUUCCUUCCCACCCAAACCAUUCUAGGAUUCUGUGAUAUUGUGGAGACUUAGAGUUGUUUUAAGCAGCUGUUACAAUUUUUUUUUUCUGGAUAGGCAUAUUCUGUUCAGCUUAUUUUUAGAUUUUGCUGUUAUUUCAACAAUUGUUCAGCAAACAAUAAA